rnacentral:rRNA from 1 species
GAGUUUGAUCAUGGCUCAGGAUGAACACUGGCGGCGUGCUUAACACAUGCAAGUCGAACGAAGCGCCUUAUUUCGAUUUUCUUCGGAACUGAAGAUUUGGUGACUGAGUGGCGGACGGGUGAGUAACGCGUGGGUAACCUGCCCUGUACAGGGGGGAUAACAAUCAGAAAUGACUGCUAAUACCGCAUAAGACCACAGCACCGCAUGGUGCAGGGGUAAAAACUCCGGUGGUACAGGAUGGACCCGCGUCUGAUUAGCUGGUUGGUGAGGUAACGGCUCACCAAGGCGACGAUCAGUAGCCGGCUUGAGAGAGUGAACGGCCACAUUGGGACUGAGACACGGCCCAAACUCCUACGGGAGGCAGCAGUGGGGAAGUAUUGCACAAUGGGGGAAACCCGUGAUGCAGCAACGCCGCGUGAGUGAAGAAGUAUUUCGGUAUGUAAGCUCUAUCAGCAGGGAAGAAAGUGACGGUACCCGACUAAGAAGCCCCGGCUAACUACGUGCCAGCCGCCGCCGUAAC